UGAUCUUUCCUGGAAUAUUUUUUUUUUUCAGUCAGGUUGUGAACACUCUGCAGUUCGGACCAUUUGCUUUCCCCAUGUUUAAAUCACCGUAAAAAUACCAGGCAUCUUAAGAUGAUUUGUGCACAUAAGCCAGCUAAUACAAUGGGAGGUUUGAGGUUUCCUGCUUUUCUCUUGGUGCUCUUAUACACUACUGUGGUCCAGAUAGAUGGAAAAGUGAUAGAAAUGGGCAUGUUUCCUGAAGUUGCUGAUUACUCAUUCCAGAAAUGUCGGAAGGAAAUACUGCAAAUGGUCACAAAACAGGGAGGUCUGCUCGAGACAGAGCUUAACAACAAUAAUGAUUUUAAAACUAUGUGGCAAAGUAAUGCAACAUGCGAGACAGCCAUUCCAGAGAUUACACAGAAGCACAUGGCUGCACUUCAGAGCUAUGCUGAAGCUAGUCCUAAAUUUCAUGAGAACUUCAAGAAGUUGCUUCAGAAAAGUUACGGCAGUUCAACUUAUCAAGAUGAGUUUCCUUUCAAAUCUUUUUUUUUUCUGCUGACAGAUGCCAUGCAACUCAUAGGCAGAAACGAGUGUAGUACAGUGUACUCUGGCACGGAGGACAUAUAUAUCACCAAAGUUGGGGAAGAACUUGCUUAAAGAAUCUAAAGAAUCAUCUUCAAGUUUCCGGAGUUCCAGUUUACUGAGUCUGAUGGCUUCCUUGCUCAUGCUGUACUUACACACACUGACUCUGUAAAAUACUCUGCAUGUUCUCAAAAACUUGUGUGCAAAAGUAAAAGUUACAUUCAUUUACUUAAUGAAUGUCAUAACUUCUGUGUUCUUGACUUGUAAGGCAGAAAUUUAUCACAACAAUAAAAUUUGUUUUAAUGCAUUUUCACUGUUCUCAUUUUAAUCUAAUCCUUAAGAUCACUUAAACCGUAAAAAAAAAAAAAAAAAAACUAAAAACUAUUGGCCUAUAUAAAUGUGUAAAAUAGGCUUACAUAAUUUUUUAGUAAAACUGAACUGUGGUAUUCUUUGAAAAUUCUCAAGCGUUGCAAAAACAUCCAUAAACUCCUUUUUACGUUUCCAUAAAGUGUAUUGCAGAGACGCUCUAAAAGGUAUGCUUUUACAAGAAGUACCUCAUACCACCAGAGGGCGCCAUUACGAUAGCCCUCACAUCACCUGCAGUAUUUUUUUUUUUUUAUCAUUUCUGUCGUGUUGCAAUUUCAUGUAUAUAUAUUGUGGCCCUUGAAAUAUGAAUAUAUACACACAUACACAAUGUAUACAUAUAUAUUGUUUAUAUACAAUUCCACUAAAAUUAAUUUCAGUUAAAUGUUUCUUGACUUGGUAUCUUGUUUUCUGUCAUUGCCUUCUGUUUUACAUUUAUCAGACCUGUACUCUCAGAAAAAAAUGUACAAAAGGCUCUCUUCUUCGAUUGCAUUGUUCUUUUAACAUAUCUUCAUAAUCAGCAUACUUUCAUUGUUCUAACAAGUAUCUGACUCAUCUCUUUGCCUCAUUUGCCAGGACAGAGAGUUGCACCAUAAGGAGAACUCUAAAGAAAUUUUACGUUAAUUUUAUUAUGUUAAAGUCUAUUAUUUCUAUAAACAUUCUACAAUGUAAAUCAUGUAGUGACUGUCAUUGUAAGCAUUCUACAAUCUAAAAAACAUUUUAAAACAUGCCCUAAAUAUAAAGGAUGUUCAUCUGUUCUACAUAAAGUAAAAUAAGUAUAAGAGGGUUUUAUUCAUGAUUCCAGUAGAACUAAGGCUAAUCAGAGACCUUAUUUUUCAAAAACGUAUGUCCAAAUAUAUAUCUAAUAUAACAUCUAAUAUUACUAUGAUCAAUACCCAUAAUCUAAUCAUGUUAAAUAAAAUUGGAUUUUGGGUUAUGAUAACAGGAAAAUAUGAUAACAGGAAAAUUAGGGUCAAAUAGCACAAAAAUGGCACAAAAAGACAAUUUGUGAACCACUGCCUACAGUAGAUUCUGGUACUAAGUGUAUUGUUAUUUUUAUAGACUAGCAAAUUAUAGAUUGGUUGUUGUUCUGUAUAUUUUUUUACUUGUCUGGUUUUGACUCAAAUAUAAGGAAACCUUUUCAUUUUUCUUCUUUUGAAAAAUGUUCUACUAUGAGAUUCUUCUUAAAUUACUGUGCUCUUUGACUUUGCUCAUUGCUGAUCAGCGUAGCGAUUGAAAAGCAGGAAGGAAAAGGCGGAGUACAGCCCCUGAUCUUUCCUGGAAUAUUUUUUUUUUUCAGUCAGGUUGUGAACACUCUGCAGUUCGGACCAUUUGCUUUCCCCAUGUUUAAAUCACCGUAAAAAUACCAGGCAUCUUAAGAUGAUUUGUGCACAUAAGCCAGCUAAUACAAUGGGAGGUUUGAGGUUUCCUGCUUUUCUCUUGGUGCUCUUAUACACUACUGUGGUCCAGAUAGAUGGAAAAGUGAUAGAAAUGGGCAUGUUUCCUGAAGUUGCUGAUUACUCAUUCCAGAAAUGUCGGAAGGAAAUACUGCAAAUGGUCACAAAACAGGGAGGUCUGCUCGAGACAGAGCUUAACAACAAUAAUGAUUUUAAAACUAUGUGGCAAAGUAAUGCAACAUGCGAGACAGCCAUUCCAGAGAUUACACAGAAGCACAUGGCUGCACUUCAGAGCUAUGCUGAAGCUAGUCCUAAAUUUCAUGAGAACUUCAAGAAGUUGCUUCAGAAAAGUUACGGCAGUUCAACUUAUCAAGAUGAGUUUCCUUUCAAAUCUUUUUUUUUUCUGCUGACAGAUGCCAUGCAACUCAUAGGCAGAAACGAGUGUAGUACAGUGUACUCUGGCACGGAGGACAUAUAUAUCACCAAAGUUGGGGAAGAACUUGCUUAAAGAAUCUAAAGAAUCAUCUUCAAGUUUCCGGAGUUCCAGUUUACUGAGUCUGAUGGCUUCCUUGCUCAUGCUGUACUUACACACACUGACUCUGUAAAAUACUCUGCAUGUUCUCAAAAACUUGUGUGCAAAAGUAAAAGUUACAUUCAUUUACUUAAUGAAUGUCAUAACUUCUGUGUUCUUGACUUGUAAGGCAGAAAUUUAUCACAACAAUAAAAUUUGUUUUAAUGCA